ACGGGGGGUGCAAGCGUUGUUCGGAAUUAUUGGGCGUAAAGAGCGUGUAGGCGGCGUGAUAAGUCAGAUGUGAAAGCCCUGGGCUUAACCCAGGAAGUGCAUUUGAAACUGUCAUGCUUGAGUACGGGAGAGGGAAGAGGAAUUCCUGGUGUAGAGGUGAAAUUCGUAGAUAUCAGGAGGAACACCGGUGGCGAAGGCGACUUCCUGGCCCGAUACUGACGCUGAGACGCGAGAGCGUGGGGAGCAAACAG
rnacentral:rRNA from 1 species